UUUGAAUUUAAAGGUUUAUUUUUAAAUUUGAAUUUAAAUUUUAUUUUUAAUAUAAAUAUAUUUUUUUUUUUAUUUUUUUAGAUAAAAUUAAUUUUUAUUAUAGUGGAUUAAGUAAAGUGAUUGAAUGUUUGAAAUAUGUGAAAUAUUAAAAUAUUUAAAAGAAAAUUUUAAUGAUUGUACCUUGUGUAUCAGGGUUUAUUAAAUAAUAGUUAUAAAGUUUAAUUUUCUCGAAUUUAAAAGAGCUAAAAAAUUAUAUAUUUUAUUGUAAAAUAAAUAUUUAAAAUAAUUUUUUAGUAAUGAAACGUUAGUCGUUUUUAAAUUUAUCUAGUUUUUUAAGAAAUAAAUUUAAUUUAGUCAUUUAUUGGGUUUAAUUUAAAUUAUUGUUUAUUUUACAUUAAUAUAAUUGAUUAAUAUUUUAAGGGAUAAGCUUUAAAAUAAAAUUUUAAAAAUUAGAUUAAAAUAUUGUAAAAUUUAUAGGAUUGGAAAUUUUUAUUAUUAAUAGUAUGUUAUAAUAAGUUUUAUGUUUUAUAUAAUUUUUAUAUAAUUUUAAAUUUUUUAUUAAAAUUAUUAAUUAAAUUUUAAAUUUAAUGUAAUAAUGAUAAAAUUAGUAUAAUUUUAAUGUAAUUUUAAUUUAGUAUAUAAAGGUUAAAUUAAGGAACUCGGCAAAUUAUCUUUUCUCGCCUGUUUAUUAAAAACAUGUCUUUUUGAUUAUAAUUUAAAGUCUAACCUGCCCUAUGAUUUAUUAUUAAAUGGCCGCGAUAUAUUGAUCGUGCAAAGGUAGCAUAAUAAUUAGUUUUUUAAUUGAGAACUGGUAUGAAUGGUUGGACGAGGAAAAGGCUGUCUCAAUUUAAUUUAAAUUAGAAUUUUAUAUUUAAGUCAAAAAGCUUAAAUAAAUUUAAAAGACGAGAAGACCCUAUAGAGUUUUAUAUAAAAUAAAUUUUUAAUAUAAAAGUAUUUAAAAUUUAUUAGUUUAUUUUAUAUUUAGUUGGGGUGACUAAAAAAUUUAAUUAACUUUUUUUAUUUAAUUUAACAUUGAUUUAUGAGUAAGUGAUCCAUAUAUUAUGAUUAAAAGAUUAAAUUACCUUAGGGAUAACAGCGUUAUUUUUUUUGAGAGUUCUUAUCGAAAAAAAAGUUUGCGACCUCGAUGUUGGAUUAAAAUAAACUUUUGGUGUAGCAGCUAAAAUAGUUGGGUCUGUUCGACCUUUAAAAUUUUACAUGAUCUGAGUUUAAACCGGUGUGAGCCAGGUUGGUUUCUAUCUUUAAAUAGUUUAAAUAUUUUAGUACGAAAGGACCAAGUAUUUAUAAAAUUUAUUUUAUAUUGAAUAUUAUUAAGUUAAUUAUUUUGGCAGAUUAGUGCUU
rnacentral:rRNA from 1 species